GCAAGCUGCUGUUUCUCCUCAACUUCAUGCUCUAAGGAUUUCAUUCAACCUGGACACCCUCCGCCGAGACUCGUAGACGAGAUCGGAAAGAUGAGGAUCGUGGACUGGGUCAUCCUGUUGUGUGGCCAGGAUGCAUUGUGGAUUGAGAUAUAAUUAAAUAAGAGAUAAUUACAAAAUGGGGAAUACCCCGGGUAAAUCAGAGUUAAAGAGGUUGUUGUAAGAAACAGUUGUCUGGUUUUAAAUCUAAUGACCUAAAGAGGUAUAGCUAAAUUUUGAGAUGGUAUGUUGCCUAAUUUUCUAAAAUUCCAGACUGUGCCAAUUUACAUUUCCACCAAUCGUGGAAAGGUUUCUCUUAAGUAUAAACUGUGAGCAAUGUUUGAUCUUGGUCAUGUCAUUUAAAAUAAGAUAGUCUCAAAAGUUAUUUUGAUUUACAUUUCUUCUAUGAUUAAAGAUAUCAUAUUAAGGAUUUUUUAAAUAUCUUUCAGUCAUUUUUAAGUUUGUCCAUUGAGAGUUUUCAGUUUAGAUCUGUUACAUAUAUUUUAUUUCAUUAAUUGUUCUUUGGAGGACUGUUUCUGGAGUCCUAAUGUUUUCUGUAUGGAUUGAUGACUGACAAAGAUUUCCACAUCUGUAGCCAGAUAUGUCGAUCCUAUUAAUUAUUUCUCAAAAUGCUGACGGGAGGCAAUGUGCCCCCAUAAAGAUAACAAUUUUAAUAAUUCUAUCCAGUUAUGUAAAUGCUCACAUACUGGAUCAGAUAAUUAUUUUCUGCCCCUGGAAAGGUUCCAGGCGGAGUUGAUCCUAAAAUAUAUUUUGGGGCUGAUGGUUCAGCCCAGUUCAAGACCUGCUACAAUUGUGCAGGCCAAUAAAAAAUAAUGUUUUGAGGUUGGCUAAUUCAGGCCAAUGUUCAGGCCGGUUGCAAUGGCACAGGCCAAUGAAAUUUGCUCUUUGGAGCAGAGACCUGUAGGUCUCUAAGUUCAAGACCAGCCAACGUCAAUACUGGCUGAGCUAAGUUUUGUUCUAUUUGUUACUCCCAAUGUGUAACAUGGUCCAGUUCAUGCAUUAAUUUGGGGUAGAGGAGCGGUUUAUGUGUUUCCACAGGAUGCAAAGCAAUUCAUUUGGGUCCCUAAAUGUCUGGUGUGGACCGUGGAUUCCUCUAUUCAGAGACCUGAGGACAAGGCGAGAUCAAGAGACUCUGCGGGCGCGGCAGAGGCGGCGAGGAAGAUGACAGAUUCCUGAGAGAUGAUCCAGCGCCUGCCUUUGCCCCUUUCCCAGCUUCCUAUCUUUGCUCUGCCUUGAUCUGCCUACUUAGCCAAGGCUGUUCUACCCCCUGAGGGGAAGCAGCUACUUCCCCUACCCUAGAUUGCAGCAUUGAGUACUCUCAGCGGCGGGAACCUUGCAGGUCAGACAGAAAUACCAUGGACUUUCAAAUUAAUUUAAAUUCUCGAUUAGAUGCUUUUGUUGAAUCUUUACAAACUGGGUGUGGAUUUUGACCUCUGCUGGUCGCUGGUUAAGAUUUUGCUGCUUUUCUCGGACCCCGGAAUACAAAAUUGCUAAUUGGCUUUAAUUUAGUAUGGUUAGUCAUUCCAGUGGUCCCAUUUGCCGGUGCCGUAGCCUUACUCAAAAGGGCU